rnacentral:lncRNA from 1 species
UGGUGGGUGGUGAAUAUUUAUGGGUGCUGCUCUACUCGUGCCUAAUUGGCCAUUUUACUCAUGGCCAAGAACACGACAAGAACAAUAACAACAACGUGGUGGAGCACCAGCAACUGCGCGCGGGUGACAACUUCACGGCCUCAUGCCCCGCCAUUUCGACCAGCCUGGGCAGUUACCGAUGGGUGGUCGUGGGCACCGAAGUACGGAAGCCGCGGGUGAUCACAGCGG